GAUGAACGCUGGCGGCGUGCCUAAUACAUGCAAGUCGAGCGAACAGACGAGGAGCUUGCUCCUCUGACGUUAGCGGCGGACGGGUGAGUAACACGUGGAUAACCUACCUAUAAGACUGGGAUAACUUCGGGAAACCGGAGCUAAUACCGGAUAAUAUAUUGAACCGCAUGGUUCAAUAGUGAAAGACGGUUUUGCUGUCACUUAUAGAUGGAUCCGCGCCGCAUUAGCUCGUUGGUAGGGUACCGGCUUACCAAGGCAACGCUGCGUCGCCGACCUGAGAGGGUGAGCGGCCACACUGGAACUGAGACACGGGCCAGACUCCUACGGGAGGCAGCAGGAGGGAAUCUGCCGCAAUGGGCGAAAGCCUGACGGAGCAACGCCGCGUGAGUGAUGAAGGUCUUCGGAUCGUAAAACUCUGUUAUUAGGGAAGAACAAAUGUGUAAGUAACUAUGCACGUCUUGACGGUACCUAAUCAGAAAGCCACGGCUAACUACGUG
rnacentral:rRNA from 1 species